UGGGGAAUUUUGUACAAUGGGGGGAACCUUGAUGCAGCGACGCCGCGUGAGGGAUGGAGGCCUUCGGGUUGUGAACCUCUUUCGCUCGUGUGCAAGCCGCUAUUUGGGUAGUGGUGAGUGUAGCGGGUAAAGAAGCGCCGGCUAACUACGUGCCAGCAGCCGCGGUAAUACGUAGGGCGCGAGCGUUGUCCGGAUUUAUUGGGCGUAAAGGGCUUGUAGGCGGUUUGUCGCACCUGUCGUGUAAUCCUCUGGCUUAACUGGGGGUGUGCGGUGGGUACGGGCAGGCUUGAGUGCGGUAGGGGAGAUUGGAAUUCCUGGUGUAGCGGUGGAAUGCGCAGAUAUCAGGAGGAACACCGGUGGCGAAGGCGGGUCUCUGGGCCGUUACUGACGCUGAGGAGCGAAAGCGUGGGGAGCGAACAGG
rnacentral:rRNA from 1 species